rnacentral:rRNA from 1 species
UCUGUAGCAAUACAGAUGGCGCACGGCGCACGGGUGCGUAACACGUGGGCAAUCUGCCCUUCGAUGGGGAAUAUCUUCGGGAAACCGAAGCGAAUUCCGCAUAACAUUCCUUGGACUUCGGUUCGAGGACUCAAAGCCGUAAGGCGUCGAAGGAGGAGCCCGCGCACGAUUAGCUAGUUGGUAGGGUAACGGCCUACCAAGGCUUUGAUCGUUAGCUGGUCUGAGAGGAUGGCCAGCCACACUGGAACUGAGACACGGUCCAGACUCCUACGGGAGGCAGCAGUGGGGAAUCUUGCACAAUGGGCGAAAGCCUGAUGCAGCGACGCCGCGUGGGGGAUGAAGCAUCUCGGUGUGUAAACCCCUUUCGACCCGGAAGAAUGCCUCGCAAGAGGACUGACGGUACGGGUAUAAGAAGCCCCGGCUAACUACGUGCCAGCAGCCGCGGUAAGACGUAGGGGGCCAGCGUUGUUCGGAAUUACUGGGUGUAAAGGGUUCGUAGGCGGUGUGGCAAGUUGGGAGUGAAAUCUCUGGGCUCAACCCAGAGGCUGCUUCCAAAACUGCUGUGCUUGAGUGUGGGAGAGGCGCGUGGAAUUGCAGGUGUAGCGGUGAAAUGCGUAGAUAUCUGCAGGAACACCCGUGGCGAAAGCGGCGCGCUGGACCACUACUGACGCUAAGGAACGAAAGCUAGGGGAGCAAACAGGAUUAGAUACCCUGGUAGUCCUAGCCCUAAACGAUCAGGACUUGGGGUGCCGCCCGUUCGGGCGUCGUCCCGGAGCUAACGCGUUAAGUCCUGCACCUGGGGAGUACGGUCGCAAGACUGAAACUC